GACGAACGCUGGCGGCGUGCUUAACACAUGCAAGUCGAACGCUGAAGCCGCAGCUUGCUGUGGUGGAGGAGUGGCGAACGGGUGAGUAACACGUGAGUAACCUGCCCUCAUCUUCGGGAUAACCGCUGGAAACGGUGGCUAAUACCGGGUAUACACAUUGUCUCGCAUGGGGUGGUGUGGAAAGGUUUUCUGGAUGGGGAUGGGCUCGCGGCCUAUCAGCUUGUUGGUGGGGUGAUGGCCUACCAAGGCGACGACGGGUAGCCGGCCUGAGAGGGUGGACGGCCACACUGGGACUGAGACACGGCCCAGACUCCUACGGGAGGCAGCAGUGGGGAAUAUUGCACAAUGGGCGAAAGCCUGAUGCAGCGACGCCGCGUGAGGGAUGACGGCCUUCGGGUUGUAAACCUCUUUCAGUACGGAAGAAGCCUCUUCGGGGGUGACGGUACGUGCAGAAGAAGCGCCGGCUAACUACGUG
rnacentral:rRNA from 1 species